CCCAGACAGCCAGGAUGUUGGCUUAGAAGCAGCCAUCAUUUAAAGAAAGCGUAAUAGCUCACUGGUCGAGUCGGCCUGCGCGGAAGAUGUAACGGGGCUAAACCAUGCACCGAAGCUGCGGCAGCGACGCUGAUGCGUUGUUGGGUAGGGGAGCGUUCUGUAAGCCUGUGAAGGUGGCCUGUGAGGGUUGCUGGAGGUAUCAGAAGUGCGAAUGCUGACAUAAGUAACGAUAAAGCGGGUGAAAAGCCCGCUCGCCGGAAGACCAA
rnacentral:rRNA from 3 species